UACGAAGGGGGCUAGCGUUGCUCGGAAUCACUGGGCGUAAAGCGCACGUAGGCGGCUUUUUAAGUCAGGGGUGAAAUCCUGGAGCUUAACUCCAGAACUGCCUUUGAUACUGAGGAGCUAGAGUCCGGAAGAGGUGAGUGGAACUGCGAGUGUAGAGGUGAAAUUCGUAGAUAUUCGCAAGAACACCAGUGGCGAAGGCGGCUCACUGGUCCGGUACUGACGCUGAGGUGCGAAAGCGUGGGGAGCAAACAGG
rnacentral:rRNA from 1 species